CUGGCACAGACGUUAGCUGAACAAUAAUCUUCCUCACCAAAAAAAAAAAAAAUUCACAUGUUCAAGUUGAUCCAAACAUACAUCAGUCUUCCAAUCACUGAACUGAGUAUCAAUGUAAAAAAUUUAAAUUAAUUAAGAUGAAAUGAAAUUAAGAAUUCAAGUGGUAACUAGCCACAUGUGGCUGCUGGCUACUGUACUGGACAGUGCAGACCUGGACUAUCAGAACGGCAUUCCCAUUGACUUCUCUGCCUCUAGCUACCAAUGUGUCCUCCACACCACGCUCACUGUGCUGUUGUAACUAUGAACAUUACAAAGGGAAAGUCAGUAAAAUUGAUCCUGCCUUUAUUCAAAAUUUUGAUAUUUUGUUCAUCAGGUACUUUUUGCAUUAAUUUGAAUUUUUUAAAAUACUGCAUUUCAAUGUUACUUAUCUCGAUUACUGAGGUUUUGGCACUCAAAAAUUUUGUCCCUGGGCAAGCCCCUCAUUUGUCUCCCCCUAGUCCUGGCUCUGUAUAAAGUGAUUCAAAGUGAUUCCCCUGCUUAAGUCCCUUCAAAUUCUCUCCAGGUCUUUCAGGAUCAAGUUCAUGGUGGGUAAGGAUGGGAAGUCCCUAAGGCUCUGGUCCGGGCCCUUCCCUUCUGCUCCAUUAAAGACACUUUCCACCAAAGACGAACCUCUGACCUGGAGCGUCUCAGCGUCCCGCCUUCCUUCACGCUGUUUCCUUUGCCUGAGACUCGCUUUCCUGUUUUCUUUCUCCAGCUGAUCCCUACUCCGGCUUCAUUCCGCUUCUCCGGUGGCAGCUUCGGGAUUUGUGCGGCCUGAAGUUCCCACGCGGCCUUCACCUUUGUGGGCUUCGCUGGCCUUCCACCCGCAGCUCCAUCUUCCCGGAGGCUGACGCCUAGGGGUGGUCGGCUUCACGCGCUGUCCUCCCCGCCGGACUCCAGGUGGGAGGAAGCAGCAGGAGAGGAGAGGCGGAAAAACAGAGAGGUCGGCGUGGAUGCCUGCUCCCUCCCUGCCCGAGCCUUGGUUCUGACGCUGGCAGCACGCUCUCACAGCUCCUGCUGGGUCGGAUGAAGAUGCUCUCCCUGGGAACCUCCUCCUGCCCCUGCAGGCCGAGGAGGGUCAUGGUCUCCUGCAGCUGCCAGUUCCGUGGGCCUCCCCCUCUGUUUUGUUUAAGCUGUUCAAUCUGCUGGGAACAACCUCUCAACGUCUGUGUGAGCCUUCAAGCACAUCUCAAAUGCCUCUUCCUCCGUGACUCCACAGCCACACCUCACUGUGGUGCACAUUCUGCCAGUCAUGCGCCACGUAAUGAUAUUUUGAUCAACAAUGAACGGCAUACACAACGGUGAUCCCAUAAGAUUGGUCCCAUAUAGCCUAGUGUAG